rnacentral:rRNA from 1 species
UACGUAGGUGGCAAGCGUUGUCCGGAUUUACUGGGCGUAAAGGAUGUGUAGGCGGAUAUUUAAGUGAGAUGUGAAAGCCCCGGGCUCAACCUGGGGACUGCAUUUCAAACUGGGUAUCUAGAGUGCAGGAGAGGAAAGCGGAAUUCCUAGUGUAGCGGUGAAAUGCGUAGAGAUUAGGAAGAACAUCAGUGGCGAAGGCGGCUUUCUGGACUGUAACUGACGCUGAGGCAUGAAAGCGUGGGGAGCAAACAGG